AAGUCUCCAGGUCUCUCUCGUCGAAA
rnacentral:misc_RNA from 1 species